rnacentral:rRNA from 1 species
CCUACGGGAGGCUGCAGUGAGGAAUAUUGGUCAAUGGACGAGAGCCUGAACCAGCCAAGUAGCGUGAAGGAUGACUGCCCUACGGGUUGUAAACUUCUUUUAUAAAGGAAUAAAGUGAGGCACGUGUGCCUUUUUGUAUGUACUUUAUGAAUAAGGAUCGGCUAACUCCGUUCCAGCAGCCGCGGUAAUUGGGGGGAUUCGAUCGUUAGCCGGCUUUAUCGGGUUUAAAGGGUGCGUAGGCGGGCUGUUAAGUAAGCGGUAAAAGCCCGGGGCUAAACCCCGGCGUGCCGUUGAAACUGGCGGUCUGGAGAGGGCGAGAGGUAGGGGGAAUGCGCAGUGUAGCGGUGAAACGCUUAGAUAGUGGGCAGAACUCCGAUUGCGAAGGCAGCAUACCGGCGGAGAUCUGACGCUGAGGCACGAAAGCGUGGGUAUCGAACAGGAUUAGAUACCCGAGUAGUC